CAAAGUCCUUCCCUCUGUGUGUGGACUUCAGUGGAACUCUCAGGUCACAGAGAUUCAGGGUGGUCAGAGGCGGUUUGAUGUUUUGGGGAGAAAGAACAGCCGUGAAGGAUUCUGUGAUGCAGGAGAAGGUGGGAGGCCUCAGGACAGAAUCAGCAGGUCACCAUGCUUUCCUGCGUCAUCCACCUGUGGGCCUCUAAUGUGUUUCUAUGAAGUUUGCAUUAAAGUUUCAGCCACUAUUUUUCAGAAACAUGGUCAACCUCUCCUUCCCUCCUCUAUCUGCUGAUAGAGUUCUACAGAAAACAAGGGAAUGACUUGAGGAGGGGGAUUCUGAAGGUUGUUGGUGGAUUCCUAGAAUGUAGCCCGCAGAACUGUGCCUGGAACGAUACCGGAUCACUGCAAAAGUACAGCGAACAGGGUCGCUUUGAAUAUUAAAGGAGGACUUUUUCAAAGUGUAUAGAGAGCAGUCAAAAGAUCGCCACAGUUGCUCUGUGUUUUCGUGAGCCAGCUUUCUCGGAAGGACUAAGCCAGUGGAUCACAAACAUCCUGGAGAGCAGUGACUCUGUGAUUCCAUCACAAGAAUAUGAAGGACUGAGAAGAUCUCCAGCUCUGCCCAUUGCACCUUCCCAUUGAGAAGCAGCAUGGCACCCUGGUGGCAGGGGCUGAUACUCAGCCGGGCCAGGGUGCUCUCCUGUUAACCAUAACCAAGCUCACAGGACAUGGGAUGAGCCCACUGUGUGACACAGGGAGCGGGACACAGUCUGUUAAGUCUUGCACAGCCAUGCUCUGCCACGCAGGCAGGCCUUUCCUUGGCCUCCCUCUCCCUGUUCGUGCUCAUGUGAACAUCCACCUACGUGGAUAGACUGGGCUUUGGUUCAUUAUUGCUCUGUGAAUUCCUCGAACUUCCGCAUCUGCCCAACCUCCCCCACCCCAUUGUUUUCAUUGUGUUUCACCAAAUGGAAAUUCUAGAGUAAGCAUGUGAGUCCUCUCCCAAACUUGUUCACUGUUGAGAGUGCUAAAAUGCUAACCCCAGAUGCUAACUGAGGGGUAGGGUUACCUUAUCUUUAGAGCACUGCGAAUUGUAUGUUAAGUGGAACUUAAUGAAAAAAUAGUUAAUUGACCAACAUGAAUAUCCCCUGAACAGAAUCUCCCCUGAACAGAAUCCUACAAUGAAACUAAGGGAGAUAAAUAAAGCUGUUUACCUGAAAGCUCUCUCUAAUCAAGAUCCUUUGAAAUUUAUAAAACAUGGUCAAUAUUUGCACUGGACUUUGUAAAAAUAAAGCUUGAUAAGAGAAGAGUUUGAAGUGAAAUGCUGCCACUUUCUAUGCAAUAUUUGAUUUAAAUUUAAUUCCUAGAAACCUCAGAUGAAUGUGGUUCAUGUAUCAAAGCACUCAGCAUUAUUUAUCGCGGCCUUAAAUACACAGUGAGCUUACAUGUGAAUGAAUACAUAUAUUAUGUAUCUCUCUCUAUAUAUAUACUAUAUAGAUAAUAUAGUAUAUAUAUAUAUAUAGUGUAUAUAUACACUAUAUAUAUCGUGUAUACAUAUACUAUCUAUAUAGUAUAUAUGUAUAUGGUAUAUAUAUCUAUCUAUAGAUAGAUAGAUAGAUAUACUUAAAAAAACCCCAUUCCCUUAAGAGCAGUUAAGGGACACCAUAUAUCAAAUUUCUUGGCACGUUGUGAAUAUUAAUAUCCCCAAAGUGUCAAUGUCAAAUGAUUUGACUUGAAAUCACUAAGCUUGGUAAUCUCACUAUUUUUAAACAAGGCCUAACAUCUUUUAAUCUUGAAUACCAGCAAGUUCUCAGACUUCAGUUGUUUAUUUUCUCUUUUCUUUCCUUUAAAAAAUUCUGACAAGCUCUUUUCCUUGACACAAAGAAAGCGUAUAAAUUUUAUUUUGGUUUGAACAACAGAAAUUUGCCUCUCAGAAUUCUGGAGAUUGGAAAGUCUAAGGACUAAGCUGCUGGCCAAUUUAGUUCUUAGUGAGGACUCUCUUCCUGGCUUGUAGAUGGCUGCCUUCUCACUGCAUCCUCAGAGAGAGAGAGAGAGAGGGCUCUUGUGUCUCUUCCUUUCUCAUAAAGCGUCAGCUCUCUUGUAUUAGGGUCCCACCCAUAAUUACCCCCUUAUAUGCCCCAUCUACAAAUAGAGUCACAUUGUGGGUUAGAGCUUGGCAGUGAAUAAUUAUGGAGGUUAUUGUUGGCUUUAGAAUUUCGUGGUAGAAACAAUAAAUUGCCUUUGUGUUUACGUUUUAUUUUAUUUUUUUAACAUUAACAUGUAUUUGCAACAAUGAAAACAGCAGGUGAAUACAUUCUGGGUAGGGGAAAAAGUUAGAGGAGUGCUAUCCAGAAGUUAUAUUUCCUAGGAAUAUGGGGAAUAAAACAUUCAAUAUUGGUGGUUCUAAUAGAUGAAUUAAAUUUAAUUUGAUGUGGAGUGGCCAUGUCCCCUGUCUCGGGAUGCCGUGUGAAGCCUGGCUCUUGUGACAGCUGUUUAGAUUUGCUGAAAGAUGUUUUAAGUGUCCUAGGAAAGAGGUUUCCAUUCAUUCUAGAACUGAUAGUUUUCUCUUAAAGUGUUAAUUUACAUUUUAAUGUUGAUGUGGUAUCCAUCUCAGGUUAAUGUUUGGCACUAGGUAAUUGAAUUUUUAAAAAUCUCAUUUUAUUUUCUGUCUGCUUUUGGGAGAGAGAAGUGGUUAGGUUUUUAUUACAGGAAGGAUUUUUCUCUUUCUCUAUUAUAAUACCUGAAAGCAAAUAUAUAUAAGCUAUACAUGAAGUCAUUACAAUUCUUUUUUCUCAUUUUAUUUUCACUUUUGGGAAAGAUUGCUGCCAAUAUUUGUGAGAUCUCUUUUCAGUUCUAUCUUUUACUUCUGCAUGUCCGUUAUCUUAGCCAUGCAAUGUUUAGUUUGAGGCAGUUUCACCCAAGGGACAUACCUUAGAAUAGACUCUCAUGGCCAGUAAUGAAUGACUGAUGGAGGGAACAGCAGUUUAUAGGUUUUUUGUUGUUUUUAAGGAGAAAAAUUAACACCCUUCAUCAAACCUCCUCUUUCUUCCUUCUCUCCUCCCCUCCAUCUCACCCUGCCUCCCCUUGGGAUCUUACUCCUGUGAUUAGUUUGGGUUCCACACAAAGAAAGAUUUAUUACUUUAAUGUCUUUGUGAUUUAGUUUUAUGUGAUCUUCCUAGGGACACCAGGGAGUACACGCUCCCCUUUCUGAAUAUGUUGUAAGCUCCUUUGAGGCAAAAAUGAAUGUUCCUGUGUUACAAGAACAGAGCAGCCCUUAUCAUCUUCUCGAAUCUUAUCUUUCUGAGUUAAACAUUUGGCAUCAGUGACGAAGUAAGACCAGACAUUGAGGAUGAGACGUCAAAUCCAAAUAGAAUCUUCAACUCGGAGGCACCAGUCUCUCUCACUUGAGGAAAGAAUGCGAAGGAAGGAAUGGCCUGACUUCCUCAUGUGUGCCCUGUUUCUCGGUAGGCACCAUGUGGGGGCUGCCACACAUGUGCCGAAGCUUUGGGAACGUUCCGUUUAAAUACCAAUUUCGAUGCCAAUGCCUAACAUGGAGCACAAAUAUCCAGAGGUAGAAGCUGAGAACAAGGAUGAAGGAAGAAUCAAUGAUGAUUGGGAGAUACUGAGCCUGAGUGAAGGAGGAGAUGGAAAUUAUCACUGGCAGGAGCCGGGAGUGAUGUGAGGGGUUGAUGAGUGAA
rnacentral:lncRNA from 10 species